AGCAUGAUGUGCUCUUGUCACAGCGCUCGCUAGGAGAGGAACCCAGAAGACCUCACCACUGGGCAUCUGCUUUGCAGUUCUGUGGGAUGCUGUUGACUCCUUCCACGUUUGCUGCUAUUAUCCUGAACACUGCUGGAGCUGUGCCUCAGAAACUGCCUCCAGAGUCAAUAUAUGAGCCACACGAGAAAACCAGCCUCGCUUUUUGCACUUCAGUGGAAUGAAGCUGCAUCUCACUAAAAUGGUCUCAUAAUUCAGACUUUUUGCCACACUCCAGCAAAUUCUGAUGAAGUUUCCUCAACUAGACUGAACCAUAUGAAAUCAGCGAUACUUAACCAUUUUGGGCCUAUAAAAAUGGCAACUUUAUAUGGCACAAUCUAAUAUAUUUCUUCCCUGGCGUUCCUUCCCAGGGACUGAAAAGCACUCUACAUUUCUAAGCUUUCUUCAUAUAUUUUAAAGAUAAAGCAGGACAACGGGAUUGACUGCCCCAGGUCCCCACCCCUGCCCUUCAGUUCACAGGUCACAGAAACUGGAAGAUCUUGAGGCAGAAAGUCAUUCAAAA